rnacentral:rRNA from 1 species
AUUGAACGCUGGCGGCAGGCUUAACACAUGCAAGUCGAGCGGGGUGAUGGUGCUUGCACUAUCACUUAGCGGCGGACGGGUGAGUAAUGCUUAGGAAUCUGCCCAUUAGUGGGGUACAACAUCUCGAAAGGGAUGCUAAUACCGCAUACGUUCUACGGGAGAAAGCAGGGGAUCACUUGUGACCUUGCGCUAAUAGAUGAGCCUAAGUCGGAUUAGCUAGUUGGUGGGGUAAAGGCCUACCAAGGCGACGAUCUGUAGCGGGUCUGAGAGGAUGAUGCGCCAGACUUGGACUGGGGCACGGCCCAGAAUCCUACGGGGGGCAGCAAGGGGGAAUAUUGGACAAUGGGGGGAAACCUGAACCAGGCAUGCCGCGUGUGUGAAGAAGGCCUUAUGGUUGUAAAGCACUUUAAGCGAGGAGGAGGCUCUUUUGGUUAAUACCCAAGAUGAGUGGACGUUACUCGCAGAAUAAGCACCGGCUAACUCUGUGCCAGCCGCCGCCGUAA